GGGGAUAUAGCUCAGUUGGUAGAGCAUCUGGUUCGCAAUCAGAGGGUCACCGGUUCGAAUCCGGCUAUCUCCA
rnacentral:tRNA from 2 species